CUAGCAUGAUGGUCGACUGUUGGCAUGGGCCGACACGAGCUUGAGAGCCUGCAGAAGUCGGGACCCGUUCUUGGGUGUUGGUGGAGGGAGUCGAAGUCGCUAUCUCAGGAGGAGUGUUCAUGUGAUGACAAUGACUUCUGCGUACAACCUCGACGACAACUUUCUUUCAGUAGCGCGUGUAGUGAGUGUGAGUGGCCAGGUUGGUCAGGGUGUCCUGUUUGCGGUCUUCUUGAUUGCGUCAUGGCGUUUGUUACGGUUUUUGCCCGGUUUUACGUUUAAUUAACUGGACAAUUCUCUUAGUCUUAAUUAAUGGAUUGAGUCCUUGGUUCGAAAAAAAUGCAUUGGAGGUUUUCCAAAACGAAAGAAAAGACAGGGGCAAUAGAAAGGAAGGAUUUGAUACGGUGCUGACGAUUGGUUACCUGCUCAGGUCUGGACAAGGAGUAUUAGGGCAUCUCCAAGGAAAACCCUCAAAUCCUCCCCAUUUGUCCAAAUCUGUCCAUAUGGGGGUCAAAGAGCAAUAUACACAACCCAAUGGGAACCUCCAUUUGUCCAAAAGUGGUCGACGCUCUCUGUUUCUUCCCCAAAUUUUGAGAGAAUAUGGGGAGUCCCCAUUUGUGCAAAACUCAUCUAAACAUUAUCCACUUGUCUUUUUGGCCCACGUGUCAAAGACUCAUGAAGAGAUAAAUGCAUGGGAGGUUAGCAUUGGACAACUUGAUGUUUUGCCCAUCCCUUGGAGAUGCCCUUAUGUUACGCGAAGCUCUGGAUUCUGAAUUCCUGACGCCGAUGAUAUUCUUUGUUCUUUCAGAAAUUGAGAAAAUUGAGUGGUGCGUACUACAGCCUAGUCAGGUCCACAGUGUGACAGUAGUACUGGAACUCAACAUCAGUUCAUAUUUCCAUCGACUUGGGGAAGUCGACCUUCCGAAGCGAAAGAAAAGACAGGGGCGAUAAAACACAAGGAUGUGAUAGAUAGGAUGCUGAUGACCGGUUACGGCCUGCUCAGAAAUUCAGAGAGAAAUAAAAUUGAGUGGCUUGUAUAGCCUAGUACUAGUACAGUACAGGAACUGAUGAACACCAUUCAUUCAUUCCCAUCGACUUGGUGUGAUCAAUGCAGCAGGUGAAGUGUCGAAUUAUGAUCAGCAGAAGAAGUACGAGUGACGCUUCUUUGUGGUAGGAGUAUGUGGUUUCGACUUUGUCACUUGAAUUGAACCCGUUUCGAGCCCCCAGAUAUAUACAAACAUGUGGUGAGUAUUUAUAUGUGGAUUAAGCUGGCCAGGAGAUAGUGUAUAUGAUUAAGCUUCUUACUGCUACUGCGGUAACUACCGGUUUGCUGCAACGCGAAUUUCAGUUCAUCACAAGGUUGGGGGGAUCGAUGAGCUAGCUAAUAAGCCGGCGAUAAUGGAGUGCGUACCGG